AUUUAUGAGAGUUUGAUCCUGGCUCAGGAUAAACGCUGGCGGCGUGCAUAACACAUGCAAGUCGAACGAUGAAACUUAACUGAUUUCUUCGGAAUGAU
rnacentral:rRNA from 1 species